GAUGAUCUCCGCUGUCUGAUUCCUGUUUCCUAGAUUCUCACACUAGAUGAGGAGCCUGUUUUUCAGCUAGCUGCUGCAAGGGAGCUGGAAAUUUCUCCCUUCAGAUAGGACCUAGAAGGUCUGAAAGCAUCUGGAGAAGGGCGCGGCUGGGAAUCGAGAAACAGGCUACAGACUGAAGCAGGAGGAAGCGAGAGAGGAAGACUCAUGGAAAGCCUUGCUGCGCUCGCCAAAAGAGCGGCCCUCGCACUCGAGAGGGCCAUGUUUAAUGCCUACCUGAAGAAAGGUAGUAACCUCUGCAGCACUUGUGGCUUGGGGUGAAAACGCGCCUGGCGUGAAGGAAGAAUCUUUGCUCUUCCCAGAGGGGUGCUGACUGGAAAUGAGCAAGUAGAUGGGGUCCCAAAGAGCCACAGAACGAGGCCCUAUGCAGGUGGCGGGACAGACUGCCCCAAAAGCCCCCUAAGAAGUUGGCCCUGGGGCAUAAGAGGAAGGCAGGGUGAAGAGCAGGAGUGAAAGCUGCUUCAACACUUUGGAGCAGGAAGGAAAGCAAGCAAGAUACAGUUGGAAGAGGGCGAAGCGGGCAACCUAAGGGACAGAGUGCAGGGUUUGACCUUCAACUUGGGGUCUCCUCCAUUGGCAGGUUUUGGGGGUGGCAUUGUUGCGUCUCCACUGAUCCUUCCCUUGGGUGGGGCUGUUGACUGGCGUCGCGGCCUGUCAGCUUGUGGGCGGGGGGUGUGACAGCCGCAAUGCCAUAUCUGGAGGCUUAGGUGUGCUCACUUGAGGUGUACAUCCUCUACCCAUCGAGUGUUCCCAGAGGAAGGGGACAGAGCUGCUCAACCCCGCCAGUGUGGCUGUCAGGGGGUCCUGUGUGAGCCCACAUGCCUGACUCCUGGGAUCUUGGAGGCUGCUGAUGUCCACCUUCCUGCGCUUCCGUCCAUUGGGAGCCUGCCCUUCCUUGGCACUGGCUGGCCGUGAGCGGUUUUCCUCCAUAGAUAGGGUUCAAGAACCACGCGACAGUCACCUCAUGGUCGUCUGACAUUCCUGAUGGAGGUAGGGAGAACCCCUGGUACCAUGCUCACGUCAGACCAGCUACCGUGAGUGACAGGAACGUCUGACAGGAUUGCAUGUUUGGCAGAAGAAACACCUGCCAGAUCAGACGUGAACGUGUGGCAGAAGGCCCAUCCAGGAAGAUUGCACACUGGGAAGAAGGAAGACCUGAGAACGUUGGACGGACAGCAGAAGGAGCGCCUCGGGAGAUUGCCCGGUGGGGUGGCGGUAACAUCUGACAGGAUUGCGGGGUGGGCGGGAGGAUGAGCUGGGAAGGAUGCAAGGCCUGGGGAGGUAACAUAUGAAGACGAUUAAAUAUGUGGCAGGAGAAACACCUGAGAAGAUGGGAUGCUUGCCAGGGGAAACAAGGGACGGAGUGGAGUGUUUGGGAGAAGGGAUGCUUAGGUAGAUUGCACGUGUGGCCAAAGGUACACAUGAGAAGGGUGAAUGGCGGACAGCAGAAACGUUGCAGCCGAUGGCACGGCAGUGGGGAGGAAAACGUAGGAAGCAUGGAAGUGCAUGGCUUGCUAAAGAAGCAUCUGAAGACGUGGCAUGUCUGGGAGAGGACACGUCGGGCAAGAUUCCACGUUUGGCAGUGGGCCCAUGAGUGGAGGCAGAUGCGUAUGGGCCUGCGGCAGUCUCGGUUCCUGCCUCCUGAGAAGAAAGUCAUCAACCGAGGGGCACAAGGCAGAGGGAGAGACCGAAGCACGCAUAAGAGCAGAGGCGAAAGUUCCUGAAACGGUAUGGUGGCAGGAGCCAAAGGAAGUCAAGGAGGCUUGGAAGAGGCCCAGGUGGGCAGGGGAGCCCCGUUCAUCCCCGGGGUCCCAGAGUGAAGCUGUGUUACCAUGUACCCCUGCCCUUGCCUUCCUCCCUGCUCUAAUGGCCGUGUGUUAGCCAGAGAUCAGUUUCGGUCUGGGUGCUAUGGGUCUGUUGUGCCUGUGGCCUUGGUCCGGCCUCUGUCCUUGUCUCUGUGAAAUGAGAGUGACUGUGCCUGAGAGCGUUCCAGCAGGACAAUGAUGAUCACUGUCUGAUUCCGGCUUCCCAGGUUCUCACAGUAGACGAGGAGCCUGUUUUUCAGCUAGCUGCCGGGAAGGGGCUGGAAAUUUCUCCCUUCAGAGUGGACCUGGAAGGCUUGGAAGCAUCUGGAGAAGGGCGUGGCCACGAGUAGAGAAAUCGAGGCUACAGGCAGAAGUGGGAGGAAGCGAGAGAGGAAGACUCAUGGAAAGCCUUGCUGCACUCGCCAAAAGAGCUGCCCUCGGACUCAAGAGGGCCACGUUCAAUGCCAACCUGACAUAAGGUAGUCACCUUUGGAGCACUCGUGGCCUGGGGCAAAAACAGAGUUGGAUUGAAGGAAGAGUAUUCUCUGUUCCCAGAGGGGCACUGACUGGAAAUGAGCAUGAAGGUGGGGUCCCUAACGGGCCACAGAACGAGGCCCUAUGCAGGUGUCGGUACAGACUGCCCCAAAAGCCCCCUGAGAAGUUGGUCCUGGGGCGUAAGAGGAAGGCACAGUGAAGAGCAGGAGUGAAAGCUGCUUCAGCACUUUGGAGCGGGAAGGAAAGGAAGCGAGAUACAGUUGGAAGAGGGCGAAGCGGGCAACCUGAGGGAUGGAGUGCAGGGUUUGACCUUCGAUUCUGGAUCUCCUCCAUUAGCAGGCUUCCGGGGUGGCGUUGUUGCCUCUCUGCCGAUCCUUCCUUUGGGUGGGGCUGUCGACUGGCGCCACGGCCUGUGAGACCGUGGGCGGGGGUCGUUGCAGGCACAGUGCGGUUCCUAGAGUCUUAGGCAUGCUCACUUGAGGCGUUCUUCCCCUACCCGUCGACUGAUCUCAGAGGAAAGAGACUGAGCUGCUGAAGCCUGCCGGUGUGGCUGUCGGUGUCCCGCGUUAGCCCAUGUGCCCGACUCUUGGGAUCUUACAGGGAGGCUACUGAUGUCCACCUUCCAGUGCUUCCGUCCAUUGGGAGCCUGCCCUUCCUUGGCGCCGGCCGGCCGUGAGCGGUUAUCCUCCAUAGAUAGGGUUCAAGAACCGCCCAACCAUCACCUCAUGGUCACCUGACAUUCCUGGUGGUGGUAGGGGGACCCCCUGGUUCCAUGCUCACAUCAGACCAGCUACCUCGAGUGGCAGGAACGUCUGACAGGAUUGCACAUGUGGCAGAGGAGCAUCUGAGAAGGAUGAAGGUUUGGCAGGAGAAACACCUACCAGAUCAGAUGUGAAUGUGUGGCAGAAGGCCCAUCUGGGAAGAUUGCACACUGGGCAGAAGGAAGAGCUAAGAACGUUGUACAGACAGCAGAAGGAGUGCCUCUGGAGAUUGCCCGGUGGGCGGUGGUAGCGUCUGAGAGGAUUGCGGGGUGGCAGGGAGGAUGAGCUGGGAAGGAUGCAAGGCCUGGGGAGGCAACACGUGAAGACGAUUAAAUAUGUGGCAGGAGAAACACCUGAGAAGAUGGGAUGCUUGGCAAGGGGAACAAAGCACAGAGCGGAGUGUUGGGGAGAAGAGACGCUUAGGGAGAUUGCAUGUGUGGCAGAAGGAACACGUGAGAAGGUUGCCAUGGUGGACAGCAGAAAAAUUGCAGCCGAUGGCACAGCGGUGGGGAGGAAAACAUAGGAAGCUUGCAAGUGCGUGGCCUGCGAAAGAAGCAUCUGAAGAGAUGGCAUGUCUGGCAGAGGACACGUUGGGCAAGAUUCCACAUUUGGCAGCAGGCCUGUGAGCGGCGGCAUAUGCGUAUGGGCCUGUGGUAACUCAGUUCCUGCCUCCUGAGAAGAAAGACAUCGAGUGGCACACGGUAGAGUGAGAGACCGAGGCACGCAUUAGAGCAGGGGUGAAAGUUCCUGAAACGGUAUCGUGGCAGGAGCCAAAGGAAGUCAAGGAGGCUUGGAAGAGGCCCAGGUGGGCGGUGACCUGAGAGGUGGAGUACGGGACUGGACCUUGGACUCAGGGUCUCCCGCGUCGGCAGCAUCGCUGCCUGUCCUCUGAUGCUUCCCUUGGCGGGGAAGAGGGGGCUGUUCACUAGCACAGUGGCCUGUCACCACCUCAUGGGGGCGCGGAGGCGCCGUGUGCUUACUAGAGUUGUUCUCAUGCUCUCCUGAGGCGUUCUUCCCACAAGCAGACGAAUGUGCCCAGGGGAAAACAUCCUAGAUCAGUGAACCUUCCGCCAGUUUGCCUCUCAGGGCGCAUGUGUGAGCCCAUUCACCCAACUCCCGAGGUGUGCUGGGGAGGCUUCUGAGGUUCGUGACUGCUGUGGGGGAGGGGGACUGCCUUUCCCUGGCGCUGCCUGUGAUCAGUGAUUUCUCUAGAGAGUCUGCUUCGUGACCACCGGGCCAUCACCUUGCGGCUGCCUGAUGUUUACUGGCGGUGGGGAACCCUCUCGGGCCCCGCUCCACACAUGUGACUGAGAGGGACACCUGACGGGAUUGAACGCGUGGCAGAUCAUCCGACGAGAUGGAGUGUCUGGUGGAAGGAACAUCUGACAGCCCUGAGCAUGUGGCAGAGGGAACAUCUAAGCAGACUGCAGCGAUUUCAGAAGGAACGGCUAAGAACGUCGCAUGGUCAGCAGGAGGAAACCUUAGGGUAGGGUGGUUGCAGGGGGUUGGGGGGCAAGGGAACCCGUGAGAAGACUGCGGGAUCAGCAGUUGGAUGCCCUAGGGAGAUUGCAAGGCCUGCCCAAGAGACAUCUGGGUAGAGGAAGUAUUGGGCCCAUGGUGCGCCAGACAAAACUGAGUGCUUGUCAGGGGAAGAAGUGGACGCAACUGGCUGUUUGGCAGAAGGAACCCUCAGGUAGAUUGCACGUUUGGCAGAAGGCCCAAGUGCGAAGAUGACAUGGUAGACAGCAGAAACCCUUUAGCAGGUCGCACGGUGGGCAGAAGGAACCUCUGAGCAGAUUCCAUGGUGGGCAGACGGAAUGCCUAGGAAGAGUGCGUGGCUUGCAAAGGAAGCAUCUGGAAAGAGGGAACAUCUGGGAGAGAAAACAUCCACCAAGAUGGAGCGUUUGGCGGUAGGGAUGUCAGCGGUGGCAGAUCCAUAGGGGCCUGCACGCAGCAACCCGAGCUCUCGCCUCAUCAGAGGGAGUUUAACUGAGGGGCGUGAGGCAGGGUGAAAGAGACCGAGGCCACUUUGAGCGCAGGAGUGCAGGUCUCCCAGACAGUACCAGAGCAGAAAGACGAGGCAGUAAGGUAUACUUGGAAGAGGGCCAUGUGGGCAACUGGAGAGGUCAGGGGCACGCUUUGUUUGACCUUUGAGGCGAGGUCUCACAGAUUGGCAGGCUUCCAAGUGCCAGGGGUUGCAUUGCUUCCUCCUCUGAGCCUUUUCGCAGGGUGGGCCAUCCACAUGGGCAGUGGCCUGUCGUCACCUGGGAAGGACCGCAGGCGUGGCCUGUUUCCUGGAGUCAUAGGGGCGCUCACAUGAGGCGUGCCUCCCUUGGCAGUCGGCUGUUGCCUGGGGAGGGUCAUAGGACAGUAAAACCCGGCCGGUUUGCCUGUGAGUGUGCAAGCGUGAGCCCCCUCACCCGCCCCCUGAGAUCUUCUCAGGGAGCUGCUAAUCGCCACCUUCCGGGGUUUCUCUCUGUCUGGGGGACCGCCCGUCCCUGGCACCGGCUCCCGGCAAUCAUUUGUUAUUUGAGACAGGUAGUUUAAUGGCAGCCUGACCCAUCACCUCCUGGUCGCCUGAUGUGUCUGGUGGGGUGUGGGCGUGGCCCUCUCCUGCGCUGCUCCUGUGUGACCAGCCGCCCACGGUAACACAGAAACAUCUAGCAGGAUGGAGUGGUUGGCGGAAGACACAUCUGACGAGAUGGAAUGUUUUGCAGAAGAGCCAUGUGACCGGAUCCCUGGUUUGGCAGAGGAGACAUGCGAGAAGACGGAGCUUUUUGUCCGAACAGACAUCUGGCAGGGUGGAACGGAGAGAACAGGUAUGGUGGAGAGAACGUCUGAGAAGGUCGCAGGAUUCGCAGGAGCAUCGGGAAAAGAUUGCCUGUUUGCCCGAAGGAAUGGCAAGUUCCAAAGGUCAGAGGCUCGCGUGAACUCUGUCGGGUUCAGGAGCAGCUCAGUGUUGCUGCUGGCAAGAGUGUGGUACGGGAAUGGUUGGGUGUGGUUUGAAUGUCUAGAAAAGGCGAGCUGAGGGUAUAUUUUUGAGCAGUCCAGAGCAGAAGGGGUAGAGGAUGUAUUCUGUGGGCCACGGCCACAUUCUCAGGAUGCUCGUGGCUGUAAAUAGUAGAUGACCCAAGUAAGAGCGGCUGAAACCAUAGGCACCAGAAUUGUGGCAGCAUCGUCGUGUCAUGCUCACGUUUUCCCUUCCAGCUGUGCUGUGGGCAGUGUUUAGUUCAUGUCUGCUUUGCUGGCGGGCCGAGUAGCAACAGCUGCAGUUGGUGUGUUCUCUGAAGGCAGUAUCUGAAAGCUGGAGGGGUUGCUUUUCUUCCCAGGUGUCUUUUGAAGAGGCAGUCAAGUCAGCAGCUCGCAGUGACCUUCUGGUAACAUCGUAUGGGCUGGGUUACAGCACAUGCCGACUGCUAAGCCGGUCACUGGGGAAAACCAUGUGAUUGCUGUGAUGAGCUUAGAAUGAUCAUUCCUCCUUCGGGAGCUGGGGUGGGUUGAGGGAAUGACAAAGAUCCCAAUAACCUUGCAUUUCUCCAGCGAGAAAGAAGAAAGAAAUUCCGUGGAUAGGGAGCCCGCCAGGUUUCCUGCAGAAAAUCAUGGGAAGCUUUUGAGCAGGGGAGUCAGAAGAUGAGCGGUGAGUAUUAGGGCUUUCCGGUCACGGCGUGACACAGGGAUUGGCCAGCUCUUCCUGUAAAGGGCCAGGUGGGAAACACUCGUAGGCCCCGUGGUCUCUGUCGUGUCUGCUGAAGCCUGCCGUAGUAGUGUGGAAGCAGUCAGAGAUGACGUGUAAGCAAAUGGUCCUGAUUGACCUCCAGUAAAGCAUUGAUUCUGGAAGCAUUUAACAGACAUAACAACCUUUCAAACCGCAUGGCGUUUCUUUCGCAGAUCCCGUUUCAGGAAUGUUUCUGGUGGCUUACAAGGACCGUCUCCAGCAUGCUUAGGCUCUCUUAACUUUCCUAGGAUCCUGAGUAGGGUAUCCGCCAUUCGUCCUUAGGGCUCCGGGAUGUCUCGUUCUUACCGUGUCCCUGCCAACCCUGGUCCCAUCUCGUCAUGCUCACCCACUGCAGAAGAGAGGAGGUGCUAGAAUGAACAGGGUCAGGGGAGCCCUGUUCAUCCCCAGGGUCCCAGAAUGAAGCAGUGUUACCAUGUACCCCUGCCCUUGCCUUCCUCCCUGCUCUAAUGGCCGUGUGUUAGCCAGAGAUCAGUUUUGGUCUGGGUGCUAUGGGUCUGUUGCGCCUGUGGCCUUGGUCCAGCCUCUGUCCUUGUCUCUGUGAAAUGAGAGUGAGUGUGCCUGAGAGCGUUCCAGCAAGACAAUGAUGAUCUCCACUGUCUGAUUCCGGCUUCCCAGGUUCUCACAGUAGACGAGGAGCCUGUUUUUCAGCUAGCUGCGGCAAGGGGGCUGGAAAUUUCUCCCUUCAGAGUGGACCUGGAAGGCUUGGAAGCAUCUGGAGAAGGGCGUGGCCACAAGUAGAGAAAUCGAGGCUACAGGCAGAAGUGGGAGGAAGCGAGAGAGGAAGACUCAUGGAAAGCCUUGCUGCAACUCGCCAAAAGAGCUGCCCUCGGACUCAAGAGGGCCACGUUCAAUGCCAACCUGACAUAAGGUAGUCACCUCUGGAGCACUGGUGGCCUGGGGGAAAAACACAGUUGGAUUGAAGGAAGAGUCUUGUCUGUUCCCAGAGGGGCACUGACUGGAAAUGAGCAUGAAGGUGGGGUCCCUAAAGGGCCACAGAACGAGGCCCUGUGCAGGUGUUGGUACAGACUGCCCCAAAAGCCCCCUGAGAAGUUGGUCCUGGGGCGUAAGAGGAAGGCACAGUGAAGACCAGGAGUGAAAGCUGCUUCAGCACUUUGGAGCAGGAAGGAAAGGAAGCGAGAUACAGUUGGAAGAGGGUGAAGCGGGCAACCUGAGGGAUGGAGUGCAGGGUUUGACCUUCGAUUCUGGAUCUCCUCCAUUAGCAGGCUUCCGGGGUGGCGUUGUUGCCUCUCUGCCGAUCCUUCCUUUGGAUGGGGCUGUCGACUGGCGCCACGGCCUGUGAGACCGUGGGCGGGGGUCGUUGCAGGCACAGUGUGGUUCCUAGAGUCUUAGGCAUGCUCACUUGAGGCGUUCUUCCCCUACCUCUCAACUGAUCUCGGAGGAAGGAGACUGAGCUGCUCAAGCCUGCCGGUGUGGCUGUCAGGGUGUCCCGCGUUAGCUCAUGUGCCCGACUCCUGGGAUCUUACAGGGAGGCUGCUGAUGUCCACCUUCCAGUGCUUCCGUCCAUUGGGAGCCUGCCCUUCCUUGGCGCCGGCCGGCCGUGAGCGGUUAUCCUCCAUAGAUAGGGUUCAAGAACCGCCCAACCAUCACCUCAUGGUCACCUGACAUGCUCACAUCAGACCAGCUACCUCGAGUGGCAGGAACGUCUGACAGGAUUGCACAUGUGGCAGAGGAGCAUCCGAGAAGGAUGAAGGUUUGGCAGGAGAAACACCUACCAGAUCAGAUGUGAAUGUGUGGCAGAAGGCCCAUCUGGGAAGAUUGCACACUGGGCAGAAGGAAGAGCUAAGAACGUUGUACAGACAGCAGAAGGAGUGCCUCUGGAGAUUGCCCGCUGCAGGAGGGCGGGAACCGGCCCUCAUCCCCAUCGCGAUGGCUGCAAAGAGCCCAGCACCCUGGGCUCAGACUUCUGGGCUCGGCCCAGUGA
rnacentral:lncRNA from 1 species